UACGUAGGGCGCAAGCGUUGUCCGGAAUUAUUGGGCGUAAAGAGCUCGUAGGCGGUUUGUCGCGUCUGCCGUGAAAACCCGAGGCUUAACCUCGUGGCUUGCGGUGGAUACGGGCAGACUAGAGGUAGGUAGGGGAGAAUGGAAUUCCCGGUGUAGCGGUGAAAUGCGCAGAUAUCGGGAGGAACACCGGUGGCGAAGGCGGGUCUCUGGGCCGAUACUGACGCUGAGGAGCGAAAGCGUGGGGAGCGAACAGG
rnacentral:rRNA from 1 species